AUACGUAGGGGGCGAGCGUUGUCCGGAAUGAUUGGGCGUAAAGGGCGCGUAGGCGGCCCGGUAAGUCUGGAGUGAAAGUCCUGUUUUUAAGAUGGGAAUUGCUUUGGAUACUGUCGGGCUUGAGUGCAGGAGAGGUAAGUGGAAUUCCCAGUGUAGCGGUGAAAUGCGUAGAGAUUAGGAGGAGCAUCGGUGGCGAAGGCGGCUUACUGGGCCUUUACUGACGCUGAGGCACGAAAGCGUGGGGAGCAAACAGGAUUAGAUACCCUGGUAGUCCACGCUGUAAACGAUGAUGACUAGGUGUGGGGGGACUGAACCCUUCCGUGCCGCAGUUAACACAAUAGGUCAUCCACCUGGGGAGUACGGCCGCAAGGUUGAAACUUAAAGGAAUUGACGGGG
rnacentral:rRNA from 1 species